CGGGCAGGCGGAUGCGCAAGUCGGACGUGAAAGCUCCUGGCUCAACUGGGAGAGGUCGUUCGAAACUGCGUGACUAGAGGACAGUAGAGGUGUGUGGAAUUCCGGGUGGAGUGGUGAAAUGCGUAGAGAUCCGGAGGAACACCAGAGGCGAAGGCGGCACACUGGACUGUACCUGACGCUGAGCCGCGAAAGCCAGGGUAGCGAACG
rnacentral:rRNA from 1 species